rnacentral:tRNA from 1 species
GCCAGCAUGGCAUAGUGGUUUGAGUGUUAGACUGAGACUCCGGAGACCAGGAUUCGAUUCCCAGCUUGGCC